AACGAACGCUGGCGGCAGGCCUAACACAUGCAAGUCGAGCGCCCCGCAAGGGGAGCGGCGGACGGGUGAGUAACGCGUGGGAAUAUGCCCUUUGCUACGGAAUAGUCUCGGGAAACUGGGGGUAAUACCGUAUACGCCCUUUGGGGGAAAGAUUUAUCGGCGAAGGAUUAGCCCGCGUUGGAUUAGGUAGUUGGUGGGGUAAUGGCCUACCAAGCCGACGAUCCACAGCUGGUUUGAGAGGAUGAUCAGCCACACUGGGACUGAGACACGGCCCAGACUCCUACGGGAGGCAGCAGUGGGGAAUCUUAGACAAUGGGGGCAACCCUGAUCUAGCCAUGCCGCGUGAGUGAUGAAGGCCUUAGGGUUGUAAAGCUCUUUCAGCUGGGAAGAUAAUGACGGUACCAGCAGAAGAAGCCCCGGCUAACUCCGUG
rnacentral:rRNA from 1 species